GCGGCGGCGACUGCUGCAGCUGGCUCAGCUGCGCGGGCUGUGCCCCCUCCCCGCCAGCGAGAGGAGGAAGGCUGGUGGACAACCUGCACCAACAAAACUGAGAAGUAAAUCAAGAGAACGGGCAACAUGGGAAUAACUGCAUUGAGCUCAGGUUCCGUGGGAUACUCGCUGGCUGGAGGGGAGGCGGCUGACCAGGGAUGCUCCCAAGGAAACCCAUGUGUGCCAACACAGGCUGGAUACGGAUGGUCCAGCAGGACUAGCCGCACGCACGCAAACCACUUCUAAAGGAGGGCAGGAUAGGUGGCAGAGAAAACCAGAACAUGGAUCCUAAAAACUUACGAGGCAGAAGGUUCGCUUUCCACCGUUUCUGGACCCACACUCUGGAAGCUGACGGUCCUCCUGAUGUCGUUAGAAGGUCGGUGGUAGCCUGAUGCUACAUCACAGUGCCUACGUCAUUCACCUCUCUUCAUCUCAUCAUACAGGCAUUUUAUCACGUGAUGUCAUCAUAAGGGGUUUAAACACUGCUCCAGUGACAUCUGCACUCAUGAAGGGGGAAAGGAAGAGGAUCCCCCAACCGAUGGAGAAAGAGAGUCUCUGAGUAGUGAAAGUUACUGUCAUGGGUACCAGUCGGGUCCAGUUUCUGUUUGGAGCCUUCUUGUGAAGGGAUAGAACCCGUCAAAAACUGCUCUGCUGUCAAAUCCACAGAAUCCAAAGAAUUUGCAUCCUGCAAAUCUCCUGCCACCCAUGAAGCCCAUUCUGUUUGUCCCAAGCUGGCGACACUUUAAAGCUGAUCCCUGAGCUGACAUGACCGGAUGGAGUGAGCAAAAAUCUUCCAGUAAAAGAAGACGCUGAUCAAAUGACACGUGUGAGCAGUCGCAGAUUUUUGCAAAAGGGAGGCUUCAUAAAUCCAAGG